rnacentral:rRNA from 1 species
UAGAGUGGCGCACGGGUGAGUAACACGUAGAUAAUCUGCCUUCGAGCCUGGGAUAACUAUUCGAAAGGAUGGCUAAUACCGGAUGAAGUGGUUUGACAUAAGUUGAAUCAUGAAAGAUUGCCUCUUCUUGAAAGCAAUUGUUUGAAGAUGAGUCUGCGGACCAUUAGUUUGUUGGUGGGGUAAAGGCCUACCAAGACUACGAUGGUUAGCUGGUCUGAGAGGAUGAUCAGCCACACUGGAACUGAAACACGGUCCAGACUCC